rnacentral:rRNA from 1 species
UACGAAGGGGGCUAGCGUUGUUCGGAUUUACUGGGCGUAAAGCGCACGUAGGCGGUUUGUUAAGUCAGGGGUGAAAUCCCAGAGCUCAACUCUGGAACUGCCUUUGAUACUGGCAAGCUAGAGUCCGGAAGAGGUAAGUGGAACUCCUAGUGUAGAGGUGGAAUUCGUAGAUAUUAGGAAGAACACCGGUGGCGAAGGCGGCUCACUGGCUCGUUACUGACGCUCAGGCGCGACAGCGUGGGGAUCAAACAGG